rnacentral:rRNA from 1 species
UACGUAGGUGGCAAGCGUUAUCCGGAAUUAUUGGGCGUAAAGAGCGCGCAGGUGGUUGAUUAAGUCUGAUGUGAAAGCCCACGGCUUAACCGUGGAGGGUCAUUGGAAACUGGUCGACUUGAGUGCAGAAGAGGGAAGUGGAAUUCCAUGUGUAGCGGUGAAAUGCGUAGAGAUAUGGAGGAACACCAGUGGCGAAGGCGGCUUCCUGGUCUGUAACUGACACUGAGGCGCGAAAGCGUGAGGAGCAAACAGGAUUAGAUA